rnacentral:rRNA from 1 species
GAUGAACGCUGGCGGCGUGCUUAACACAUGCAAGUCGAACGAUGAAGCCAGCUUGCUGGUGGAUUAGUGGCGAACGGGUGAGUAACACGUGAGUAACCUGCCCUUAACUCUGGGAUAAGCCUGGGAAACUGGGUCUAAUACCGGAUAUGACUCCUCAUCGCAUGGUGGGGGGUGGAAAGCUUUUGUGGUUUUGGAUGGACUCGCGGCCUAUCAGCUUGUUGGUGAGGUAAUGGCUCACCAAGGCGACGACGGGUAGCCGGCCUGAGAGGGUGACCGGCCACACUGGGACUGAGACACGGCCCAGACUCCUACGGGAGGCAGCAGUGGGGAAUAUUGCACAAUGGGCGGAAGCCUGAUGCAGCGACGCCGCGUGAGGGAUGACGGCCUUCGGGUUGUAAACCUCUUUCAGUAGGGAAGAAGCGUAAGUGACGGUACCUGCAGAAGAAGCGCCGGCUAACUACGUGCCAGCAGCCGCGGUAA